rnacentral:rRNA from 1 species
GGACUACCAGGGUUUCUAAUCCCGUUUGCUCCCCUGACCUUCGUGCCUCAGCGUCGGUAACUGUCCAGAGACUCGCCUUCGCCACUGGUCUUCCUUACGAUAUCUACGCAUUUCACUGCUACACCGUAAAUUCCAGUCUCCUCUCCAGUACCCUAGCCAGGCAGUAUCGAAUGCAGUUCCAGGGUUGAGCCCUGGGAUUUCACAUCCGACUUACCCGACCGCCUACGCACCCUUUACGCCCAAUGAAUCCGAACAACGGUUGAGACCUCUGUAUUACCGCGGCUGCUGGCAC